rnacentral:rRNA from 1 species
UACAGAGGUGGCAAGCGUUGUUCGGAAUUACUGGGCGUAAAGCGCGUGUAGGCGGCUCUUCAAGUCAGGCGUGAAAGCCCCGGGCUCAACUCGGGAACUGCGCUUGAUACUGUCGAGCUAGAGUGUGGAAGGGGCGAUUGGAAUUCCGUGUGUAGCGGUGAAAUGCGUAGAGAUGUGGAGGAAUACCGAUGGCGAAGGCAGCCCCCUGGGCCAAUACUGACGCUCAUGCACGAAAGCGUGGGGAGCAAACAGG